GAGAGCCGUGUGAUGGGUGACUAUCCAGCACGGUUUGGAGAGCACUUUUAGCCUGCGUAGGUGAAUGGAAGCCUCACCUGUCAAGCAAGAAGGAAGCGGCUCUUCCCACGGCGGAGUCACCAUUGACUCUAU
rnacentral:ncRNA from 1 species